UGGGAGGUUCAGUGGACUGGAAAUGCGGCUGAAAUAGGAGUGACUCAUAAAGGAAUCAGGAGGAAAGGAUACAGUGAUGACUGUCAGCUCGGAUUCAAUGACAAGUCCUGGGUUCUGUGCUGCUCUGGUAGGAGUUACUAUGUCAGUCACAACAACACACAAACUGCCAUAGCUGUACACCCUUCCUGCAGAGUAGAAGUGUAUGUGGACUGUGUGUCUGGCACUCUGUCCUUCUACAGCGUCUCCUUUGGUGAACUGACCCUCCUGUACAGGUUCACUUCCACAUUCACUGAGCCCCUUUAUCCUGCAUUUGGGCUCUGGGGUUCAGUGUCCCUGCGUGAAGUGAAAUAGAUACCAGUGUCCUGGGUCUGUUUCGGUUUAUUACCACUGGUUUAUUGUUGGUGUGACUUAGACUGGCUGUAUUUAUUUUGUUUUAUUUUAAUGUUUCCUUCAGACUUUGACUGGAAACAGCGAUUAACUCAUGGUAAUAAACUUUAUUGCUAGCUGAAUGAAUAAUGAACUGAAGCAGGACCCACUAAUGUGUUUACUGCUGGUCAAAUGCUGCCUGAACUGUACACCUGUUGUUCAUAAUCACAUACAAUUAAUACGAAACAAACUCAGGUUUCAAGCUAACUGCUCCAUUGUCUCCCACUUGAACACACCUCACUUUUAUCACCCAACAUGGUGGACAGCAGUGGACCGGAAACUGCACUCAUUCCCACAAUGCACCCUUGUCUUAAAGUAACACUACACUCUUACGGCUUCAUGUCCGUGUUCGUCCAGUUCGUCCUCAUCAAGCAGUGCUGUGCUGACUGUGUGAGCUGCUGAUUGAAAGAGAAUAAAUAAAUGAAAACUGUAGAGCAAAUAUUUAUUUACUUGUAAUGACCCUGCCCUCGGUCUCGAGUCCCCGGACGUCACAGCCGUCCCCGAAGCACUGUCCCGACACAUCUGUUCCCGGUUUACCCGUCCCCCCCCCCCCCCCCCUUACCUUACCACCAUACCCUGCGCUAUUGUGAAUAAAGAGUGGCGUUAGCCAAACACCUCCCUGGGUUCGCCUCCGUCUGUUGCAGGAUAUGUCACAAUCCUGGAGCACUAUGGAAGCAGAGAGUGUUCCUAAGGAGUACUGAAAAGCUCAUACAACAUCAUCAGCUGGUGUCUAGCCUUUUGGAGGCACUGAUGUUGCUGUCAAAGAUAGCAGUAGUAAAGUGCCAGGCACACACAAAAAGAAAGGACUCUGCGAGAAAAGGAAAUGAGAAGGCAAAUUGGUGGGCAAAGCAUGUGGCCUUGAGCCCUGAGGCGCCUAUGGUGUCAUUGUUUCUAGUCUCUACCCCUAACCCAGGUGUUUCUUUGCUGCAAACAGGUGCCACAGAAAGGGGAAAGGCGAGAUGGUUUCAUGUGGGGGCCCAGAAGACAAAAGAUGGUGUGAUUGUCUCUACUAACGGUAAACCUUUUCUCCCCAGGAGCACGUUCCCUGGAGUGGCAAAGAUUGCACACGGCCUGGAUCACGCUUCUCGCAACACCAUGGUCUCCAACGAACACUGAAGGAGGUGCAUCAGCACGUGCGACAGAACUAGUGAACCCUUAACCGGGAAGACAUGCUAGAGCUGCUCCCAGGCGAUUGGGUUCUCAUCCGUGACCUGUGAAAGAAACACUGGAAGCAGCCCUGGUGGAGAGGCCCUCAUCAGGUUCUUCUGUCCACACCCCACGCUGUGAAAAUAGAAGGCAUUGACUUGUGGACUCACAUCACCUACUGCUGUAAAAUAGCUGAUCCCACGGAAGCACAACAGCAACAUGAGUGAUUCAAGGACACCCUAGCACCCUUUCUGAAGGGCAGGACUGUGUGGAAUGAGAGGAACUUUGUGUUUCUUUUUUGAAUUAGCAUUGGUGAUUGUGUUGCUUAUUGUAUUACUACUGAGAAAGAGAGAGGUAACCUAAUUGAAACCUCUGUUACAGGCCGUAAGAGAUCUGUGGAAAAUCUGCAUGAGAAAGGCCUACAUGGUAUUAACAUAUUUUUAGAACUGAGCUGUAAAUGAGUCUAGGUGUUGGGUGUGUUCCCACAUUCCACACUCUGUUUCAACCGGACUCCCACUAAACCCUGUUCCUUGGGCCCUACCUGAGGUAUUCUUGUGGUGGGAUACUUACUUCACUAAGCUUCUGUCCGGAACCUCUACUAGGCCAUCGUGGGAAACAGCAGGAUACAACUUCUCGGGUCAUAAAUUCGAUGAACUGUCAUUCCUCUGAAAUUUCACCAAAUGAAAUAACACUCACGAAAGGGUCCCAACCACAAUGGCAUCCUGAUAGCUCUGCUCAGAGGGUCAAAAGGACCAUCACGUGUUACAUAGCUGGUAUUGGUAUCACUGAAAACAAACGAUUCUGGAUGAUUGCAUUUCCCUUGUAUGGCAUAGGGAAAGCAGCCAGACAACUUAUUUAUCUAGCUAGAGCCUUAGAAGACAUAGCUAACAGUACAGCCAAGUCUCUUAAAGACAUCUCUGCUGAAAUGGUUGUACUACGCACUGAAGCUUUCCAGAACCGCAUGGCUCUGGAUUACCUCUUAGCAGCAUCAGGAGGUACAUGUGCAGUGAUAGGUAAAGAAUGUUGCACGUACAUACCUGACCACUCGGAACAUAUUAAUUAUCUUGCUGACCACAUCAAUGAAAUAAGGAAGAAGUUUCACAAUUUUGGAGCUGAAAAAUCCUGGUUCGGCUCCUUUUUCUCCGGGUGGGCGGAUUGGUUACGAGCUCUCUUGAUGUUUGGAAUACUUUUGUUUAUCUUUCUUCUGUUACUAUGCUGUGGUUUUUCCCUUCUUAAAACACGUAUUACUGAGCUCCAUCACCCCUUUGAACUUGAAAAUGUACACCCAUUAUCAACAGAUUCCAGAGGAGGGCGACAGGGAGAAGGCCCUAAUUGAAUUGCCCAAGGGGUUUUAGGCCGCUAGUGUUGGUGAGACGUUUGAGAAAGUCUCAAGAGUGGGGAGUAUGAGAAAAAAUUUCAUCAAUUGUUCAUUCUACUUUUUGUGAGGCCCUUUAUUUGCCUUUCAACUAUGAAUUAAGGAUUGUAAUAAUUGCUUGCAAAAAUAUGUAAUGCGAUGAGUGAUAAGGCUGCAUUUGCUAGGACACAUUACAACUGUACCUGCAAAGAUAAGAUAGCAACACCAAAUGAAGAAACUGCUGCCGUGGGAUAGAAGGAACUAACCCACCUACACCUCCACAAGAGGAACAAGCCACGGAGGCUGAACUAACGGCUGUACUAGUGGAAAUUUACUAUCCCCACCCCACGGUGUAUAAAUAGCUGUAUUCUGCUUGUUCUCAGUGUGACUCUCCCCAGGAGGUUCACCUGUGUGCAUAUAUUGCAUUAAAGGCUUCUGUAACGUGA